AGAGUUUGAUCAUGGCUCAGAUUGAACGCUGGCGGCAGGCUUAACACAUGCAAGUCGAGCGGGGGAGAGUAGCUUGCUACUUUACCUAGCGGCGGACGGGUGAGUAAUGCUUAGGAAUCUGCCUAUUAGUGGGGGACAACAUCUCGAAAGGGAUGCUAAUACCGCAUACGUCCUACGGGAGAAAGCAGGGGACCUUCGGGCCUUGCGCUAAUAGAUGAGCCUAAGUCGGAUUAGCUAGUUGGUGGGGUAAAGGCCUACCAAGGCGACGAUCUGUAGCGGGUCUGAGAGGAUGAUCCGCCACACUGGGACUGAGACACGGCCCAGACUCCUACGGGAGGCAGCAGUGGGGAAUAUUGGACAAUGGGGGGAACCCUGAUCCAGCCAUGCCGCGUGUGUGAAGAAGGCCUUUUGGUUGUAAAGCACUUUAAGCGAGGAGGAGGCUACCGAGAUUAAUACUCUUGGAUAGUGGACGUUACUCGCAGAAUAAGCACCGGCUAACUCUGUGCCAGCAGCCGCGGUAAUACAGAGGGUGCAAGCGUUAAUCGGAUUUACUGGGCGUAAAGCGCGCGUAGGUGGCCAAUUAAGUCAAAUGUGAAAUCCCCGAGCUUAACUUGGGAAUUGCAUUCGAUACUGGUUGGCUAGAGUAUGGGAGAGGAUGGGUAGAAUUCCAGGUGUAGCGGUGAAAUGCGUAGAGAUCUGGAGGAAUACCGAUGGCGAAGGCAGCCAUCUGGCCUAAUACUGACACUGAGGUGCGAAAGCAUGGGGAGCAAACAGGAUUAGAUACCCUGUAGUCCAUGCCGUAAACGAUGUCUACUAGCCGUUGGGGCCUUUGAGGCUUUAGUGGCGCAGCUAACGCGAUAAGUAGACCGCCUGGGGAGUACGGUCGCAAGACUAAAACUC
rnacentral:rRNA from 1 species